rnacentral:rRNA from 1 species
GGUGAACGCUGGCGGCGUGCCUAAUACAUGCAAGUCGAGCGAACGGACGAGAAGCUUGCUUCUCUGAUGUUAGCGGCGGACGGGUGAGUGACACGUGGAUAACCUACCUAUAAGACUGGGAUAACUUCGGGAAACCGGAGCUAAUACCGGAUAAUAUUUUGAACCGCAUGGUUCAAAAGUGAAAGACGGUCUUGCUGUCACUUAUAGAUGGAUCCGCGCUGCAUUAGCUAGUUGGUAAGGUAACGGCUUACCAAGGCAACGAUGCAUAGCCGACCUGAGAGGGUGAUCGGCCACACUGGAACUGAGACACGGUCCAGACUCCUACGGGAGGCAGCAGUAGGGAAUCUUCCGCAAUGGGCGAAAGCCUGACGGAGCAACGCCGCGUGAGUGAUGAAGGUCUUCGGAUCGUAAAACUCUGUUAUUAGGGAAGAACAUAUGUGUAAGUAACUGUGCACAUCUUGACGGUACCUAAUCAGAAAGCCACGGCUAACUACGUG